rnacentral:rRNA from 1 species
AACGAACGCUGGCGGCAUGCCUAACACAUGCAAGUCGAACGAGACCUUCGGGUCUAGUUGCGCACGGGUGCGUAACGCGUGGGAACCUGCCCUUAGGUUCGGAAUAACUCCCCGAAAGGGGUGCUAAUACCGGAUAAUGUCUUCGGACCAAAGAUUUAUCGUCUUUGGAUGGGCCCGCGUUGGAUUAGCUAGUUGGUAGGGUAAAAGCCUACCAAGGCGACGAUCCAUAGCUGGUCUGAGAGGAUGGUCAGCCACACUGGGACUGAGACACGGCCCAGACUCCUACGGGAGGCAGCAGUGGGGAAUAUUGGAAAAUGGGCGAAAGCAUGAUCCAGCAAUGCCGCGUGAGUGAUGAAGGCCUUAGGGUUGUAAAGCUCUUUUACCCGGGAUGAUAAUGACAGUACCGGGAGAAUAAGCUCCGGCUAACUCCGUG